UUAAUUAAUUUCCACUCCAAGAUGACUAGGGCUGCUAUCGCUAACUGUUCACUCUGUUUCACCUUGCAGUUCCAAGGAGACACCUAAAGAGAAAUCCUGCUCCACCCCAGUGUCCAGAGCAAGCUCCGUCCUUUUCACUUGGAUAGCAAAAAAUGGGCUGUUUCUUGAACUGGGUGGCAUAGUUUGGACCCAGAACUCAACCUGGACAGAACUCACGUGUUACAGUGAUUUUUCCCUGACUCCUGGGAGAUGUUGUUUUGGGCUGAUACAGUCAUCUGUUUAGCUGUGCCAUCAUGCACCAUUUUUGUUUUAGUUGUAGAGAAGGAAUUCAGCCACAGUGUAAUAACAUUUAUUAUUAAGAUACAUAUCCUGCAAAAUAAAUAUGAAGGAAAAUAUUCUUACUAUGCUUACUAUGACAUGGAGGAUGUAACUAAGAACAUUCCAGGAAGUACUACCAAUAUUAGUUAUUAUUGACUGUAAAAAAACACAAAAUAUAAACAAAAAGCAGAGAAGCACCAACACAAGUACCUGUAAUGUUUUGUAUAAUAAACCUAUAAGAGUGACCCACUUAUUCUUGCCACAAAUCCAGCACCAACCCAAAUCAAGACCACUUAUUCAUCUCUCCAAAAAUGUUCAGUCUGCACACAAUGUUUUUCUGUUAUUUGUUUAGGUAGUACAUAUUUAUAGAAUGAACAUGGAAGCAGUACACUAUUGGAUGUUAUCACUCCUGUAUGUCUGGGAAUCUUCCUGGUUCUAACGAGUUAAGAAACACCACCAAGGGAUGAGACAGAGUACCGAUGCUAACACCAUAUUCUACUUUCAUCCCCACAGCCAAGAAAAAACAGCCAAAAUGGAUGAUUGAUCCCACCUCCCACAUGAGAAACUCCUCCAAUUCCAGUUCUCAGAAUAUAAGAACAGCUCAUUCCCAGAAGGUGGUGUCAGAAGCUAACCUGGCAAACACGGAAGACACAGGUCCUGUGACUCUUCUAAAAUGCUACCCCUGAUCUUUUUUUUUUUUUUGAGCAGUUAUUGUCUUUUCAGUUAUUCUAUUAAACAGCUACCAGGGUGGUACCCCAACAUUAUUUCUGCGUCUCCGCCUUGACUACCCACAUGGCUGCCUCUUACAAUAUAAAUACAGCUACAUUCUUACACAAGAUUUUCAGAUUAUAGAAGCAUAGAAACAGGAGUAAUGAAUGUGUCAGAUGAACACUGGUCCAUAUAAUUGAGUAUGUGUGUGUGCAUGAGUGUUCAUGACAAUGAACUAGCACCCUUAUAAUUGAUUGUGGCCAGUGCUGCCAAGAAAGAAUCGACAGAAUUGGUUUUGGUGAGUGGAGAAGUGGAUGCAUGUAAUGAAAACCUGUGUAGAAGUGCAGAAAAAGGAGAAACAGAAUAAUUUCAAGCAAAAUGAAAAAGACUCCAAAAGAAAACAAAUAUAAAAAUACAUUGAUCUUAUUAAGUUUAUGUAUGUAUCCACAUAUUUUCCUUUACUCUGUUUUUCUCAGUACUACCGAGAUAUGUCAAAGCAAUAGGGGCGCUACUUCAUUGGGGUUCACAUGGCCUUUUUAUAACUUCAUUUUAAUCGUAAUUUAACUUAAUCCUGAUACUCUGUAUGUUCAAUUCAUCAUA